rnacentral:rRNA from 1 species
UACGAAGGGGGCUAGCGUUGCUUGGAAUCACUGGGCGUAAAGGGUGCGUAGGCGGGUCUUUAAGUCAGGGGUGAAAUCCUGGAGCUCAACUCCAGAACUGCCUUUGAUACUGAAGAUCUUGAGUUCGGGAGAGGUGAGUGGAACUGCGAGUGUAGAGGUGAAAUUCGUAGAUAUUCGCAAGAACACCAGUGGCGAAGGCGGCUCACUGGCCCGAUACUGACGCUGAGGCGCGACAGCGUGGGGAGCAAACAGG